CUGCUAUUGGAAUUCGACUAAGCCAUGCGAAGUGAAGGUGUCUUCGGACGCCGGCAAACGGCUCAGUAACACGUAGGUAAUCUACCCUCAGGACUGAGAUAACCCCGGGAAACUGGGGCUAAUACCAGAUAAACCUCUGCAAUGCGGGAAACCGUGACAGGGGGAUUCCAAGUGCUCAUGCAUUGCAUGGGCUGUUCUUUGGUCUAAGUAACCAGAGGAGUAAGGGCUGGGCAAGACCGGUGCCAGCCGCCGCGGUAAUACCGGCAGCUCGAGUGGUAGCCGCGAUUAUUGGGCUUAAAGCGUUCGUAGCUGGGUUGUUAAGUCUCUUGGGAAAUCUGACGGCUCAACCGUCAGGCGUCUAAGGGAUACUGGCAAUCUUGGAACCGGGAGAGGUGAGGGGUACUUCGGGGGUAGGAGUGAAAUCCUGUAAUCCUCGAGGGACCACCUGUGGCGAAGGCGCCUCACCAGAACGGCUUCGACAGUGAGGGACGAAAGCUGGGGGAGCAAACCGGAUUAGAUACCCGGGUAGUCCCAGCCGUAAACGAUGCGCGUUAGGUGUAUCGGUGACCACGAGUCACCGAGGUGCCGAAGGGAAACCGUGAAACGUGCCGCCUGGGAAGUACGGUCGCAAGGCUGAAACUUAAAGGAAUUGGCGGGGGAGCACCACAACGGGUGGAGCUGCGGUUUAAUUGGACUCAACGCCGGGAAGCUCACCGGAUAAGACAGCUGAAUGAUUGCCGGGCUGAAGACUCUGCAUGACUAGCUGAGAGGAGGUGCAUGGCCGUCGUCAGUUCGUACUGUGAAGCAUCCUGUUAAGUCAGGCAACGAGCGAGACCCACGCCAACAGUUGCCAGCAUGGUCUCCGGACUGAUGGGGACACUGUUGGGACCGCCUCUGCUAAAGAGGAGGAAGGAAUGGGCAACGGUAGGUCAGCAUGCCCCGAAUUAUCCGGGCUACACGCGGGCUACAAUGGGCAGGACAAUGGGUAUCGACACCGAAAGGUGAAGGCAAUCUCCUAAACCUGUCCUUAGUUCGGAUUGUGGGCUGUAACUCGCCCACAUGAAGCUGGAAUCCGUAGUAAUCGCGUUUCAAAAUAACGCGGUGAAUGUGUCCCUGCUCC
rnacentral:rRNA from 1 species